rnacentral:rRNA from 1 species
CCUACGGGAGGCAGCAGUGGGGAAUAUUGCGCAAUGGGCGAAAGCCUGACGCAGCGACGCCGCGUGAGGGAUGAAGGUCUUCGGAUCGUAAACCUCUGUCAGCAGGGAAGAACGGUCACUGUGCUAAUCAGCAGUGAAUUGACGGUACCUGCAAAGGAAGCACCGGCUAACUCCGUGCCAGCAGCCGCGGUAAUACGGAGGGUGCGAGCGUUAAUCGGAAUUACUGGGCGUAAAGCGCUCGUAGGCGGUAUGUCAAGUCAAGGGUGAAAUCCCCGCGCUCAACGGGGGAACUGCCUUUGAAACUGGCAAACUGGAGUGUGUGAGAGGAUAGUGGAAUUCCAGGUGUAGGAGUGAAAUGCGUAGAUAUCUGGAGGAACAUCAGUGGCGAAGGCGACUAUCUGGCACAUAACUGACGCUGAGGAGCGAAAGCGUGGGUAGCAAACAGGAUUAGAUACCCUUGUAGUC